rnacentral:rRNA from 1 species
UACGUAGGGGGCAAGCGUUGUCCGGAUUUAUUGGGCGUAAAGAGCGUGUAGGCGGCCAAGCAGGUCAGCUGUGAAAACUCGAGGCUCAACCUCGAGACGUCGGUUGAAACCGCUUGGCUAGAGUCCGGAAGAGGAGAGUGGAAUUCCCGGUGUAGCGGUGAAAUGCGCAGAUAUCAGGAGGAACACCGGUGGCGAAGGCGGGUCUCUGGGCCGAUACUGACGCUGGAGGAGCGAAAGCGUGGGGAGCGAACAGG